UACGUAGGGGGCUAGCGUUGUCCGGAAUCAUUGGGCGUAAAGCGCGCGUAGGCGGUCAGGAAAGUCCGGUGUGAAAGUCAUAGGCUCAACCUAUGGAUGCCGCUGGAAACUGCCUGACUUGAGUCCGGAAGGGGCGAGUGGAAUUCCUGGUGUAGCGGUGAAAUGCGCAGAUAUCAGGAGGAACACCAAUGGCGAAGGCAGCUCGCUGGGACGUUACUGACGCUGAGACGCGAAAGCGUGGGGAGCAAACAGG
rnacentral:rRNA from 1 species